CAAAUACUAGUAACUGUAAUUCUAGAUUCUCAGGUCGAUUCGCUCCCGUGUUCCUCAAACUCAUUUCUAGGGUUUCGCCCAACAUCACCAUCGACGACGGAAGCGAUCGUCUCCGUCUCAUGGACGAGAGCCACAUGAAUGCUAAUCGCCGGCCCUUGCCUCGUCGUCUUUUCGAUUCGAGAAGACGGAGCAUUGCCCCCCGGAUCUCCAAUAUGGUGUGCCGUUUCUGGUUCGCGAUACCGCUCCGGCCUUCGAUUCAAUCGAUAUGAGUGAUGCCGAUUGGGAGUUCAUUGCUACGGAGCACGAACGAUGUGGUUAGGGUUUCGUAUAAUGGUCUUACAGGAGCUAGAUGCCCAUAACCGGGGAGUUGUCACAAGAAAACAUCGAAGAUCGGUGAUUUGGGUAGGGUCAGUGCUUCAUACCUUCAUGUGUUCAACAUAAUAAGCAAUGAUGAGUGUGUGGUUGUGUAUUUUAUGCUUAUAUUUACGGUCACUGACUGCUAAAAACUUGUGAGUGUGUUUGUUGAUGUUCAUUGUUUCUGA